rnacentral:rRNA from 1 species
GAUGAACGCUGGCGGCGUGCCUAAUACAUGCAAGUCGAGCGAACGGACGAGAAGCUUGCUUCUCUGAUGUUAGCGGCGGACGGGUGAGUAACACGUGGAUAACCUACCUAUAAGACUGGGAUAACUUCGGGAAACCGGAGCUAAUACCGGAUAAUAUUUUGAACCGCAUGGUUCAAAAGUGAAAGACGGUCUUGCUGUCACUUAUAGAUGGAUCCGCGCUGCAUUAGCUAGUUGGUAGGGUAACGGCUUACCAAGGCAACGAUGCAUAGCCGACCUGAGAGGGUGAUAGGCCACCCUGGAACUGGGACACGGUCCAGACUCCUACGGGAGGCAGCAGUAGGGAAUCUUACGCAAUGGGCGAGAGCCUGACGGAGCAACGCCGCGUGAGUGAUGACGGUCUUCGGAUCGUAAAACUCUGUUAUUAGGGAAGAACAUAUGUGUAAGUAACUGUGCACAUCUUGACGGUACCUAAUCAGAAAGCCACGGCUAACUACGUG